CCUGCGGAAGGAUCAUUACUAGAGCAAAGGAUAGACAGCGCCCGCGGAGCCUUGCUCCCUGGGGCUACCCUACUUCGGUAAGGUUUAGAGUCGUCGGGCCUCUCGAAGAAGCUCGGUCCUGAACUCCACCCUUGAAUAAAUUACCUUUGUUGCUUUGGCGGGCCGCCUCGUGCCAGCGGCUUCGGCUGUUGCGUGCCCGCCAGAGGACCACAACUCUUGUUUUUAGUGAUGUCUGAGUACUAUAUAAUAGUUAAAACUUUCAACAACGGAUCUCUUGGUUCUGGCAUCGAUGAAGAACGCAGCGAAAUGCGAUAAGUAAUGUGAAUUGCAGAAUUCAGUGAAUCAUCGAAUCUUUGAACGCACAUUGCGCCCUCUGGUAUUCCGGGGGGCAUGCCUGUUCGAGCGUCAUUAUAACCACUCAAGCUCUCGCUUGGUAUUGGGGUUCGCGGUCUCGCGGCCCCUAAAGUCAGUGGCGGUGCCUGUCGGCUCUACGCGUAGUAAUACUCCUCGCGAUUGAGUCCGGUAGGUUUACUUGCCAGCAACCCCUAAUUUUUACAGGUUGACCUCGGAUCAGGUAGGGAUACCCGCUGAACUUAAGCAUAUCAAUAAGCGGAGGAAAAGAAACCAACAGGGAUUACCUCAGUAACGGCGAGUGAAGCGGUAACAGCUCAAAUUUGAAAGCUGGCUCUUUU
rnacentral:rRNA from 1 species